rnacentral:rRNA from 1 species
GAUGAACGCUGGCGGCGUGCUUAACACAUGCAAGUCGAACGGAAAGGCCCAAGCUUGCUUGGGUACUCGAGUGGCGAACGGGUGAGUAACACGUGGGUGAUCUGCCCUGCACUUCGGGAUAAGCCUGGGAAACUGGGUCUAAUACCGGAUAGGACCACAUUUUGGAUGGUGUGGUGGAAAGUUUUUCGGUGUGGGAUGAGCUCGCGGCCUAUCAGCUUGUUGGUGGGGUAAUGGCCUACCAGGGCGUCGACGGGUAGCCGGCCUGAGAGGGUGUACGGCCACAUUGGGACUGAGAUACGGCCCAGACUCCUACGGGAGGCAGCAGUGGGGAAUAUUGCACAAUGGGCGCAAGCCUGAUGCAGCGACGCCGCGUGGGGGAUGACGGCCUUCGGGUUGUAAACUCCUUUCGCUAGGGACGAAGCGCAAGUGACGGUACCUGGAGAAGAAGCACCGGCUAACUACGUG